GAAUUGCUGGGGCUGAAUUUGGGCUGAAUUUAAUAGCGACUUACUAACCGGCAAUUAUUUGUCUGCCUUUAACAGGAACUCCAUAAUGAAAGAGGUUAUCACCCAGGAGUUAUACCCAGCUUGUUUUUCAACCCUGCAAAGGGAAGAUACUGUGCUGUGAACAAAGCAGUGAUGGCUCAUGAGUCCUCCCUGGGCAUGAGGAGAGCGGUGGAGCUGUUUUGGACGGCACAUGCACAGAGAAACAUAGAGGGAUGAGGAGCUCAAUCACUUCAGCUUUGCAGAAGACUUCAACACAAGGGAACGAGCGUGGUGGUAGAAGCCGUCGGAUCUUCUGCUUCCUAAUGGCCACGCUGCAGAGACACGAAAAACAAAGGAUGAAGCAUCUCUAGUGGCAUAUCAUUAAUGCUGGUGGCAUAUCAUUAAUGCUGGUGGCAAGCUGAGGAAAGAGACAUCAACAGCAGAAGAGGCUGAGAUGAAUGAAGCAGGAGUCAUCAGCAUGGAAAUGCCACCUUAAUUAUACUACGUUCUGAAAAGAACUAAAUCAAGGUGAAUACGAAACUGAAACUAAGAGGCACCAGCCACCCAUUUAGGCUUCACUACCUCACCUCAUCAGGGGUAUAUUACAAGUCCCUACUGGAAAAUAGUGCCUCACACCUUUCAGUCCUUGGUGAUCUUCUGCUGCAGGAAGAGUUGCUAAUCCCAAGAUUUUCACGUUCUGAGCUAAAAUCAGAGAUGGAAUAUUGUUGCAGUUGGAAACUUAUUUAUUUAUGGGUCAUCCAAUAGACAAAAGAUACAAUGGACUACAGUAGAUACCCUCUUAAGGAGAAAAAUAUUUGUGAAAAUAUCAUUAAAAUAUACUGUGGAUGUGUCAACAAUUCGAUCUUCAGUACAGAGCACUUAUCAGGAAACCCUCUGGUAUUAAGUUAUGUUUCAUUUCUAAUGCUGCCCAAGCAUGCUCUAUUUUUUGCCAAAAUAAUGGAAGUCUGAGCCUUUGCUGGGAAUUUCCAUACUUAUGUGGUUUUAAGUUAUAUCCUUCAAUUUUUUUUUUUUUUUUUGUCUGUUUUGGUAAUGGGAAGUUUUAGUGCCUGGAAAAUCUGAGACGCUGAAAGAACCUAAAAAAAUGUACAUGCAGAAGAGGGUUUGGUUUUCUUCUGAAUCCUGGUCAGACUCUGGAAAACAGAACCAAACCUCAGAACCAAAAAUUCCUUCAUGAGUUUUCAACAUUUCUGCUAAUGCCGAGUUCCAGGAUCUGGUUUACAUCGGGAAACCUUGACUCCUGGCUCCAAAGGGUUCAAUUAGUCAAAAUGGUUGGCAGAUGGAAAAAAAUCAUUAAGUUCCAUCCAGUGUUUUGAACAAUAAAAAUAGACUCAAGACACAAUGGCCUUACCUUGAACUUUGCAGGCCAGUGUCACAUUAUGAUAAAGAGGGAGUCAGCUUUUAGAAGCUGGAUUAUCUACCAGCACACGGACAGAGUGUGAAGCUGGGCUGCAAGGGGGACAGGCACCAGAACCUUGCAGGCUGAGCUCAUGAUUAUUAGUUUAAUGAUUUUUAGCCCAGAUCCAAGAUGCAAAUUCUGGCGAUGAGAAAUAACUCGACGUGGAUAUUAUGAGAUUACCAAAACCUCACGACAGUAGUAAUAACAAUAAUCAUCUGUGAUUUGAAGAGACGCUGAAAUUCAUGGAAAUUUUAAAAUCUUAUUCUUAGAAAUCUUUCUCCUAAAUGCUUUGUCUUUCCUGAAGAUGACAGAAAAGCAGAUAGAUAACACUUUUAUCAAACAGAUUUUUCUUCAUUUUAUGCUUAAAUAUAGACUUAGAUGCCCAACUUUAGGAACUUGAAUUUGAAAAUACAAUUAUGGACCAGAAACAUAACCUGUUCCAUAAUUGGACAUCAAAGCUAUUUUUACUUCAACUAUCCCAUAAGAUAGGUGGGAAAAGGAAUUAUACCUGACAUUACAUACCUGAUCAUUCUGAAAAAAAUGAAUAUAUUCACAAAAAAAAAGCAGCAUCUAGGGUAAAUUUUCAAAUUGGAAACUAGGACUUACUACAACAAAUGAUUUAUUACAAAAUAAGCUCUAGUGAAAAUUUUAUGUCCAAAGCAAUGUUUUGGAUAAUAAAUUAUAUCUUACAGACAAUAAAAAGUGGACAGAUUCUCCACCACUGUCAAUGACAGCACCUGGCAGUACAGGGCACACGGGCUUGGAGAUUAAUGUCUAAGUUUAGAAUGAAAUUCCCAGCUGGUGGGAAUUACUAAGACACAACAGAGGUUCUAGAUUGUAAUAUUAAUAAAUUUUCCCAGAAAGUGUGAGAGCUCCACAUAUCCACACUUGUACAUACACUUUUACAUCCGCUCUUGGCUGUCACUCGGUGCUGGAUGCAACUGGGUACUUAACAUCUAAAGAGAUGGAGAAAUAAAUUGCACAGCUCUCCAUGCAAGUCUGAUCAAGCUCAGGAAGGUGAGGUAAGUCUGCUUCCUAUUGCUCACGUCCUUCCUUCUGUUCCCUAAACCUCUACCA